rnacentral:rRNA from 1 species
GAUGAACGCUGGCGGCGUGCCUAAUACAUGCAAGUCGAGCGAACGGACGAGAAGCUUGCUGCUCUGAUGUUAGCGGCGGACGGGAGAGUAACACGUGGAUACUCCACCUAUAAGACUGGGAUAAUUUCGGGACACCGGAGCUAAUACCGGAUAAUAUUUUGAACCGCAUGGUUCAAUAGAGAAAGACGGCCGUGCUGUCACUAAUAGCUGGAUCCGCGCUGUAUUAGCUGGUUGGUAAGUUAACGGCUUACCAAGGCGACGAGGCAUAGCCGACCGGAGAGGGUGGUCGGCCACACGGGAGCGGGGACACGGUCCAGACUCCUACGGGAGGCAGCAGUAGGGAAUGGUACGCAAUGGGCGAAAGCCUGACGGAGCGACGGCGCGUGAGUGAUGAAGGUCUUCGGAGCGUAAAACUGUGUUAUUAGGUGAGAACAGAUGUGUAAGUAGCUGUGCACAGCUUGACGGUACCUAAUCAGAAAGCAACGGCUAACUACGUG